rnacentral:ncRNA from 2 species
UUUUGUUUAACUAUGGCAAUAAGAAGUAUUAACAGCUUAAUUGCAUAAAGUUUGUUUAUAUUCAUAAUUUGUGAAAUCUCUUUUAUUAUUAGCAGUUAGUUUUUUAUUAAAAUUUACGUUUUUUAAGAAGUUGUUAAAUUAAGGGGAUAGGACACAGUGCCAGCAUCCGCGGUUAUUCUGUUUUCUUUGCUUUUAUAUAGGCGAUAAGUUAAAUAUAUAGUAUUAAGGUUCGGUGAAAUUUUCUUAUGGUUAAUAAAUAUAUUUACUAAGAAUAAAAGAUAGCUGUUUACGACAGGGAUUAGAUACCCCAUUAGUCACUAUUUUAAUUCUGCUUUAGUUUUAUAACUAAAAUAGUUUGGCAGCGAGUUACUCCUAUCGGGGGAAGGUGCGUUAUAAAGGACGAUCCGCCAAUUAAUCAACCUGUGCUAUGUUGGUGUAUAUCUGGUUGAAUAUUAUUGUUUAGUAACUUAAUUUGUGUAUAUAGUAUAUUAAGCCAAGUCUAUGUGCUGCAUGCACAGGGUAUCGUGCGUUACAUUUAUAAGUAUUAAGUUGUAAUACUUAAUAAUUGAGGACUCGAAAGUAAUAUAAAAUUAGUUGGUUUAUGUGAAAAAGGUUUAACUUGGGUACACACCGCCCGUCACCCUCGACCAUUGUUGAGGUAAGUCGUAACAUGGUAACCCUAAAUGAAUUUAGGGUUAAUUUUAGUUAAAU